rnacentral:rRNA from 1 species
ACGCUCGACACCUACGGGAGGCAGCAGUGGGGAAUAUUGCACAAUGGGGGAAACCCUGAUGCAGCGACGCCGCGUGAGUGAAGAAGUAUUUCGGUAUGUAAAGCUCUAUCAGCAGGGAAGAAAAUGACGGUACCUGACUAAGAAGCCCCGGCUAACUACGUGCCGGCGGCCGCGGUAAUCUGAGCGGGCUGGCAAGGC